AUGAAGCUUUUCCAGGUCGUGGUGUGGGACCCCGUCACCAGAGACCAGCACCGCAUUGCCAUUCCCCCGGGGUUCGACAGGGCACACGGGGCGGUGCUUCGCACCACCGGAGACAAACACUUUCAGGUGGUCUUGGUGGUGAGACAUUGGGAUGACGAGCAACAUACACGUGCGAUUGCCUGUGUUUACUCGUCAAAGACCGGCUUAUGGGGAGAUCGUAUCUCAACACCGCUUCCAUAUCAACCUGAUGUGAGUGGUUCUCCCACCAUGCUUUAUGAGCUUGAUGCUGUGCUGGUUGGAGAUUCCCUUUACUGGAUGCUUUCUGGGAAUUUUGGUGGAAUUCUCAAGUUUGAUUUGGAGAAGGAGAGCCUAGCUGUGAUACGAGUGCCGCCAGUGGAUAUGUAUGGCUAG
rnacentral:rRNA from 1 species